UUCCCUUCAGCUCAUCCUGGAGCCUCAGUAGUUGCUGUGGAGACAGACAGCAUUAUGAAGAACAAAUGAUAGUAGUCGCCAACAAAGUACUUGCCGGUGUAGGUGAUGAAUGCUUAUGAAAAGAGAUCAACAACAGGGAUCUCAAUCUGGUGCAGAAAAAUGAAGCACAGGACUGCUAUCUACAAAGAAAAAUUCUCUCUAAUGCUAGACAAAACUGAUGUGUAGCUACUGAUAUGAUAUCUUAAUUCAGCCGCUAACAAACUAAUGAUAAUAAUGUAUUCUACGUACAUCUCAGCUAAUGUGUUGUUACCAGUGCCUUAUGGUUUUAUGAUACUGUUUAGUCAAGUCAGAAAACCUGGUUACAGCUGUGCAACUUUGUAGUCAGAUCUCAUCUUGCUUCACAGUCAGAGUGGAUACGCCAAUGAAAUUAAAGAUGCAAUUGGAUUUCUGAAUUGAAUUGAAUUUCUGUCUGAAAUACCAGACGUUUAUUUAUUUAUUUAUUAUUUUUAUUUAAAGGCAACCAGAAAUCAAAACUGAUCUUUAUACUGUGUUUGUUCAUGCACCUGGCCAUAUUGUACCUGACUGAAAUUGUAUUGUGUAAUAUAAAACACAAAUUCUUGGUUUUCCAUCAGAAUGUAAUGAUUUUUCACUGGAAAUAUGCAGGAUAAAAUUAUAUUUAACCAAUAAUAUCAUGUUAUGUUAGCUAUCGCUGAGUACAAAUACUGAGUCUUAGUCACACGAAAAUAUGUGAUGUUAUGAAAGACAAAUGCAUCAUGACUUUUGCUUCAUAUUUUUUUAGUGAAUGAGAGAGAUGAGUGUGUUGCUUCUGUUUUUUUUUUUUUUUUUUUUUUUGUAGAGGCAGUAGAGGACUGCUGAGGCAUAGACAUGAGCUCGUCGGAGUGUCUGGCAGGCUGCACUGCAAGCUCCCAAUGCUCUUGCUACUAGCUCUGAAAAGGCUCUUAUUGCAGCCCAACUUUGUGAUCAAACGACAGACAGUUGCUGACUGAUCGAGUCCAACACAGCCUGCUGAGAGAGCUGAGGCUCUGCCAUCACACAGCUGUGUGUGAUAACAAAAGCUUGGAUGCUCCAUUUGUCUUGGACUGAAAAGUAUAAAAAUCGCAUUAUACAAACUUCCAGCCUCACUGAUCCCCUGAUAGUCAUUAUAGGGAUCAGCAGUGAGGUGGUUUAAUGCCAGUAGUGUGAAAUCUUGCAGAUCAGACACAAUAAAUAACCUUGGAGCUGUUGCACUGAAGGGAAAGAGAACACAUACAAGUUUGUCUAUAUGUAUGCAUUGGUAUAGUCCCACACUGCUUGUUCCUUUAUCUUGUUUUGUUAUGAUAAAUGGACACUUUCUUGAUCUACA